GAUCAUGACCUGAGCCAAGACCAAGAGUUGGACACUUUUAACCAACUGAGCUAUCCAGGAGGAGGUCUUCAAGACUCCAGUUGACCCAUGAGUGGACUCAGACACUUGGAGGCUCCUUACCUCCUUCCUGUCCUUGGGAUGUACAUUCCACCACUCUUCCCGUACUAGAAGCCACUUCAAGGACAAGCCUUGAGUCAUGUGUUGUUGAGACCAUCUGGAUGGUAUAUGUGACUGAAUCCUGUUAAGGUCUCUAUAUAAACCUUUAGGAUUCUGGCAGGCAGAUGCGGGGAUCUGCUGGUCUUGCAGCCACCCAAGACAAGCCUCAUAUGUAAGUUCCCUUGCUUAUUAAAACUACCACCUAAAAACAAAACAAAAAAAAUAAAUAAAAAUAAACAACAACAACAAAACCCUGCCACCUACCCAAUCUGGAGUGGUGGGCCUCUUUCUUGAGUCUCUCCUUGCCCUCUGUGUAUAGGGGCCAAUUUCAAAUUUCACAUGGGGAACUAUAGAGGUUGAGAACCAACACUUAAACAUAGACCAAUGGAAUGGAAUAAAUACACACACUCUCUUUGUCAAUGAGGAAAUGAUAAACUUUUAGAAAAUAGUAUUAGGAAACUGCUCAUUACAGAGAAAAAAAAAAGUGAGUUAUUACCAUGUGCCAUAUACAAAUAACGAUUCCAUGUGGAAUAAACUCCUAAUUGUGAAAGAUAAAAUUAAUGGGAGAAAGUCUUAUAGAAUAUUUUUGUGACCUAAAUUGGGGAGACCUUAAACAAGAGCCAAGAACAGCAGAAAUUGUAAGUAAAAAAAAAAAAAGGAAUUAAUGGCUUUUACUACAUAAUAGUUAAUAACAAAAAAUAAUUAAUAAUUAACUUACUAAUAAAUUAAUGUUUAUUAGGCAAAGCACCCAAAGUUACCAGGAAAAAAAUGACAGUCUAAGAGAAGAUAUUUGUGACAUCUAACACUAACAUAAAUAUCAACUAGUCUAUGAAGUAGAAUACACAGCUAAGCUAUACAAACCAAAAAGAAAAAGAUAAAUAUCCCAGUUUAAAAAAAAAAAAAAAGAUAU